UACGAAGGGGGCUAGCGUUGCUCGGAAUCACUGGGCGUAAAGGGUGCGUAGGCGGGUCUUUUAAGUCAGGGGUGAAAUCCUGGAGCUCAACUCCAGAACUGCCUUUGAUACUGGAGAGCUUGAGUCCGGGAGAGGUGAGUGGAACUCCGAGUGUAGAGGUGAAAUUCGUAGAUAUUCGGAAGAACACCAGUGGCGAAGGCGGCUCACUGGCCCGGUACUGACGCUGAGGUGCGAAAGCGUGGGGAGCAAACAGGG
rnacentral:rRNA from 1 species